UCAGUAAUAUGGUCUUUUGGUUCUCGCC
rnacentral:piRNA from 1 species